UACGUAGGGUGCAAGCGUUGUCCGGAAUUAUUGGGCGUAAAGAGCUCGUAGGCGGUUUGUCACGUCUGCUGUGAAAACUGGAGGCUCAACCUCCAGCUUGCAGUGGGUACGGGCAGACUAGAGUGCGGUAGGGGAGAUUGGAAUUCCUGGUGUAGCGGUGGAAUGCGCAGAUAUCAGGAGGAACACCGAUGGCGAAGGCAGAUCUCUGGGCCGUAACUGACGCUGAGGAGCGAAAGCGUGGGGAGCGAACAGG
rnacentral:rRNA from 1 species